rnacentral:rRNA from 1 species
CUAGUGUAGCGGUGAAAUGCGUAGAUAUUAGGAAGAACACCGGUGGCGAAGGCGACAAACUGGACGAUAACUGACGUUGAGGCACGAAAGUGUGGGGAGCAAACAGGAUUAGAUACCCUGGUAGUCCACACCGUAAACGAUGGAUACUAGGAGUUGGCAAAAAUAUUGUCGGUUCCGCAGUUAACGCAUUAAGUAUCCCACCUGGGGAGUACGACCGCAAGGUUGAAACUCAAAGGAAUUGACGGGGGCCCGCACAAGCAGUGGAGUAUGUGGUUUAAUUCGAAGCUACGCGAAGAACCUUACCAAGGCUUGACAUACAGAGGAAUAAGUAGGAAACUAUUUAGCUCUUCGGAGUCUCUGUACAGGUGGUGCAUGGUUGUCGUCAGCUCGUGUCGUGAGAUGUUAGGUUAAGUCCUGCAACGAGCGCAACCCCUAUUUCUAGUUGCCAGCACAUAAUGGUGGGAACUCUAGAAAGACUGCCGGUGAUAAAUCGGAGGAAGGUGGGGACGACGUCAAAUCAUCAUGCCCUUUAUGUCUUGGGCAACACACGUACUACAAUGGCCGUUACAGAGAGAAGCAAUACAGUGAUGUGGAGCAAAACUCAAAAAGCGGUCUCAGUUCGGACUGUAGGCUGAAAUUCGCCUACACGAAGUCGGAAUUGCUAGUAAUGGCAGGUCAGAAUACUGCCGUGAAUACGUUCCCGGGCCUUGUACACACCGCCCGUCACACCAUGAGAGUUAGAAAUACCCGAAGCCUGUGAGCUAACAGUUUAAUAUUGAGGCAGCAGUCGAAGGCAGAGCUAAUGAUUGGGGUGAAGUCGUAACAAGGUAGCCGUAGGAGAACCUGCGGCUG